UGGUAACUUGCUCCACUUGCCUGAGAAAUCCCACGGACAGAGGAGUCUGGAGGGCUACUGUCCAUAGGGUCACAAAGAGUCGGACCUGACUUAGCGACGAAACAACAGCAACAACACUGGAGUGGGAACAUAAAACACAUGUUCUCGUGUUUCUCUGUCACUUCGUAAUUUGAAGGGUAUUCAUAUGGAUUCCAGGAGGAGCAUCACAAUUUUCACAUGCCCUACUAACUGAAGGAAUUGGAAACUCCAGCCAGAAUUCAUUCCCUGGGCACUGCCAUUCCUGGUGGCCAGAGAGACUGUUUGGUGACAUCGCCCUCCUGUGGCAACACUUGUAACUGUUCAGCAGGGCCUGGGUUCACUCUUCUUCCCAUUGUUUGUCUCUGUCUCUUUUUUCUCAUUGUGUCUUUAAUAAUCGUUCCAAAGUCAGCUCUGAACCUUGCCUGGCAGAGCGUCCCAUGGAGUUGGCCUCCCUUUCAGCCACUGACUGGCGGGGUGUGGGGCUGCCCUUUGAAAGCUCCCUUGAAUUAGUAACAAUGUGUGCCCC
ensembl:lncRNA